AUCUACAACAUACCACCCUGAACUUGCCCAGUCUCAUCUGAUCUUUGAAACUCAGGAGAGUCAGACAUGAUUAGUACUUGGAUGAGAGAUUUCUGGCAGUUAUGGGGC
ensembl:rRNA 5S_rRNA 5S ribosomal RNA